AUGGCUGCCGACGCUGGUCAAAGUAUGGUAUGUGUCCUUAUCAGCUUAACAUCUGAUACUGGUUGUAUUUGUACUGAAGAUAUUUAACUUAGUUUUGCAAUAUGGCAGAGUGCUUUAAGCCUGCUUCACCUUCGCCGCAGGUCGGCCCGGUAUUGCACAGUCUUCGGAGUCGGCCAAGGUUUU